rnacentral:rRNA from 1 species
UAUGUGUGCCCAAGCAUUGAGGCAGUCAAAGUAGGCAAAUCCGCUUUGAUAAUGCUGGGAUGUGAUGGGGAGCGAAAUUUAGUAGCGAAGUAGCUGAUUUCACACUGUCAAGAAAAGUCUCUAUCGAGGUUAAAGGUACCCGUACCGCAAACCGACACAGGUGGGUGAGGAGAGUAUCCUAAGGCCAGCGAGAGAACUGUUGUUAAGGAACUCGGCAAAAUGACCCCGUAACUUAGGGAUAAGGGGUGCCACCAUCAGGUGGCCGCAGAGAAUAGGCCCAAGCGACUGUUUACCAAAAACAUAGGUUUCUGCUAAGUCGCAAGACGAUGUAUAGGAGCUGACGCCUGCCCGGUGCUGGAAGGUUAAGGGGAUCUGUUAGAGCAAUCGAAGCAGUGAACUUAAGCCCCAGUAAACGGCGGCCGUAACUAUAACGGUCCUAAGGUAGCGAAAUUCCUUGUCGGGUAAGUUCCGACCCGCACGAAAGGCGUAACGAUUUGGGCACUGUCUCAACAACAGACUCGGUGAAAUUGUAAUUCCGGUGAAGAUGCCGGAUACCUGCGACAGGACGGAAAGACCCCAUGGAGCUUUACUGUAGCUUGACAUUGGGUCUUGGUACUACAUGUACAGGAUAGGUGGGAGGCUUUGAAACCAGGACGCCAGUUUUGGCGGAGCCAUCCUUGGGAUACCACCCUUGUAGUACUGGGACUCUAACCAUAGGCCAUGAAUCUGGUCUUGGGACACUGUCAGGUGGGCAGUUUGACUGGGGCGGUCGCCUCCCAAAAGG